UUCCUGCUGGUGAUACUUUGCCUGAUGCUGACUCCUGUUCAGACCCAGGCUAGUCUCAGACAAAGUUCAGAAUCCAUUUCUAAGAGGCCAGCUUGUUCUGCACCUGUGGUCUGUAUGCACUAAAGGCUGAGUCUCCACAAGUGAUAUGGAUGAUAAAGUAUAAAUGGCUUAAACCUAGGCCACAUCCACACAGUCCUGUCUGAUGUGGAGCAUUUUACAACUCAUAUGGAAUCCAAACCUUCAGAACAAAAAUCAUUUUUAGAACCAGAAAAACUUCACUGACAGUAUAACAAAGUGGUUAUCUGACUGUGCUGCAGUGAAAUUGACUACGGAAAAUCCUAUUAGGAAAUGCCUUUGUUCUGCACAUCAAUGCACUCCUGCCACUACACAAUCUGACUUGAUGCCACUCAGAUAAAUAUUACACUGCUUUAUUUAAUGUUGUAUAAACAUAAACCUUUUCACUUCCUGGUUCACAGUGAGUAGGAAUUGUUGCAUGCUAGAUGUCAAAAUGUAAUCGACUGAUCUUCACACUUAAUCUACCUGACACAUGUGAUCUUAAUUCCUACUGAGAUUCUCUGUUACAUAAACUUGCAUGGGCUCCCUCUUGUAGUGGUGGAGUUGCAUUCAGCUUUGCUGGUUGUGACUUCCAGACUGGGGGCAGGAAGCAAUAAGGUGAAAAUGAGACAGCAGGAUGGAAGUUGGAGAGUGAAAAAUUGGGCAAAGAGUAAAAUAAUGAAGUAAGACUAAUCAGUGAGGAGAGUGAAAUAGCCCUGGAUGAUUGAUUGUUUUGAAGAUCAGCUGCAGAUUUUUCACAAGACUUAUAAAGACUUUUUGUUUUCUGAGGGAUUUUGUAAUCAAUUCUUUCCUAACUAAGGAUUUGGUAGUUUGCACCACAAGGGAAUGGAAAAAUUCUGGGUUGUUUUACUCAUUUCCUGGGUGUUUAAGACAAAAAUAAAGUCAUCGCUUUGGGUAUAGUAGGCCAGUGAGCCAGCUGUCCUGUUAGUUUCACUGAUGCAAUUUUCAGUGGCCAAGAAUCUUCUCCGCUUUGCUUCGCUUCUGUGCUUGUGCUCCUUUGUGCUUAUGUGCCUGUUUGUGUGUUCAGUCCGUAACUCAAACAUAUGUAACUACUCUUUAGGAAUAACAAUCAGGAAUGUUAAAAGUUCUGACUGUGUAACAUCUGUAGUGGACAGAAAAUAUUAAAAAGAUGUUCAGCAUCAAAACUUUCAAUAAGGAUCCCGUAGACUAGGCCCUCUCUCUCCUCAGUAACUAGAUAUCAGGUGAAAACAGUUGUAUUUUAAUCCAUAUUUUCCCAUAAUAUGUUUAUAAAUUAUGUUCAAUUAUUCAUUAUGAAGUGAGACUUUUUAAUUAAAAUCAUGCUAGAU
ensembl:lncRNA